UACGUAGGGUGCGAGCGUUUGUCCGGAAUUACUGGGCGUAAAGAGCUCGUAGGCGGUCUGUCGCGUCGGAUGUGAAAACUCGGGGCUCAACCCCGAGCCUGCAUUCGAUACGGGCAGACUAGAGUUCGGUAGGGGAGACUGGAAUUCCUGGUGUAGCGGUGAAAUGCGCAGAUAUCAGGAGGAACACCGGUGGCGAAGGCGGCGAUCUGGGAAGAUACUGACGCUGAGGUGCGAAAGCGUGGGGAGCAAACAGG
rnacentral:rRNA from 1 species